rnacentral:rRNA from 1 species
AGGAAUAUUGGUCAAUGGGCGGAAGCCUGAACCAGCCAUCCCGCGCGCAGGAAGACAGCCCUAUGGGUUGUAAACUGCUUUUCCAGUGGGCGAAACACUCGUACGUGUACGAGAUUGACGGUACACUGGGAAUAAGCAUCGGCUAACUCCGUGCCAGCAGCCGCGGUAAUACGGAGGAUGCAAGCGUUAUCCGGAUUAUUGGGUUUAAAGGGUGCGUAGGCGGAUGAAUAAGUCAGUGGUGAAAGGCUGCAGCUUAACUGUAGACUUGCCGUUGAUACUGUUUAUCUUGAGUAUGGUCAAGGCAGGCGGAAUGUGUAAUGUAGCGGUGAAAUGCUUAGAUAUUACACAGAACACCGAUUGCGAAGGCAGCUUGCUGGGCCAUUACUGACGCUGAUGCACGAAAGCGUGGGGAGCGAACAG